rnacentral:rRNA from 1 species
UACCAGCACCCCGAGUGGUCGGGACGUUUUAUUGGGCCUAAAGCAUCCGUAGCCGGUUCUACAAGUCUUCCGUUAAAUCCAACUGCUUAACAGGUGGGCUGCGGAAGAUACUAUAGAGCUAGGAGGCGGGAGAGGCAAGCGGUACUCGAUGGGUAGGGGUAAAAUCCGUUGAUCCAUAGAAGACCACCAGUGGCGAAGGCGGCUUGCCAGAACGCGCUCGACGGUGAGGGAUGAAAGCUGGGGGAGCAAACCGGG